rnacentral:rRNA from 1 species
AUUGAACGCUGGCGGCAGGCCUAACACAUGCAAGUCGAGCGGAUGAAGGGAGCUCUUUCCCGGCUGCAGCUGCGGACGGGCGGGUGAGGACCAGGUGUAUAACUUGCCUUUGGGGAUGACGUCACGACACGGGCGCUAAUACCGUACCGGAUCUGAUGUUGAAAGUGGGGGAUCUAUGGAGAUCACGGUAUCUGAUGAGCCUAGGACGGAGUAGCUAGUUGGUUGGGUAAAGGCCUACCAAGGCGACGAUCCGUAGCUGGUCUGAGAGGAUGAUCUGGCACACUGGAACUGAGACACGGUCCAGACUCCUACGGGAGGCAGCAGUAGGGAAUCUUGCACAAUGGGCGAAAGCCUGAUCCAGCCAUGCCGCGUGUGUGAAGAAGGUCUUCGGAUUGUAAAGCACUUUUAGUUGGGAAGAACAGCAGUAUGUUAAUCCAUUGCUGUUUUGACGGUACCAACAGAAUAAGCACCGGCUAACUUCGUG